CCGGAAGGGCCUUGGCAAGCUGUGUGUGGAGUAGGAAGAGAAACAGAAGCUCCUUCAGACAAAGCAUGACCUUGUCUUCCAAGACAGCCUCUCCUGCCUUCCUCUGCCCUCUGGCAAGUGUCCUGAAGCUCACAGCAUCCCUUGCCAAUCACUGCCCCUGUCUUAUAAAGCCACAUCUUGAGCAACUGCUGCCUCAGCAGAGUGAAGCAACACAGCUAAGCAGACUGGACCGUUCUGCAGCGUUAGAAUGUGAUUUGGAACUGAAGAGCGGGGUGGUCCUUCCGCAGAAGAAGAGUAUGGGAGGCUGCUGCAAGCAGCCCAGGGGACAGGGAGGUGGCUGCGGGCUCCAGGCUCCCGUUUUCUUUCCAUGUGUCAUGUGGAUGCUGUACUACUCCAAUCAAGGAAACCUUGAAAGAAUGUUCACAGACACUCUUUGGAACAAGCUGCACACCUGUUCGCCCUGUCUCUAGUCCACCACUGCUGCCUGCACAGAAGAGCACAGUCUCUGGUCAACAAUGAUUCACCUCUUCACAGCAGUGCGCCCUGCAUGUCCUACAUGUGAUUCCAGGGGAUGGAUGUAGCCUGGGGUGACAGGGAUGUUCACCCUGUUCCAAUAAGAUUACUCAGCUCAAAUCCAUUCAAAGAUGGAUUUACUGGCCCUUGGGAGAGGUGGGGAGUACUGUGAGAAGGCCACCAACAUGGAGGAGAAAGGUCCAGAGGUGAAGCUCAGGCGUCCGCCCAGUCUCUGUCUCAUGACCGAGGUCCUCAUGUACUGGCUCCACAGAGACUCGUCACGUGGAGCAAUAGAAACACUAAGAUACUGGAUGACCUUCACAGGCAUGUGUACACGCACCCAUACUCCAUGGAACAGUGCCACAGGCUCACUGGAUUCCUUGUACAAGCACCAUGUGAGACCUGCCAGUCCACGGAAUAAUGGAUGUUCAGUGGCUACAGCCAUUCACAAACAAAGGCAGUUGGCCAAGGCUAUUUGAAACUCAUUUUAAGAUCUUUCUCUAUUCAAACUGGCACCCUAACAUUAUUUGUAUCUCAGUCUUUACCUCCAGUACAUGUGAUCAACAAAGAAGUAUGUUUUUCCACUCUCUUCCUCACAGACAGCAGCAUCAAUAUGUGUCACGUAGCUAGGGAAGCCAAAGUAGCUGUGGAUGUCCACGGGGUAUCCGCUCAAUACACUCCUUGUACGAACAGCCCACAUCCUAUUGCCUGCCAAUCAAAAGCCACAGAUGAACCUCCUUGUCCACAUUUCCAGCCAGGCUUCAAAGGCUAGAGCAGUAUCGUAGCUACAAACUGCAACUGUCCAGGGAAGGCGGUGGUGCCUUGUUUUGUGUUAAAUGCUGAUAUUGGGAUCCAAUUUCAAACUGAUUGAAUGAAUUUGCCUUUUGUUUGUUUGAUUGAUUUUUGUGUUUUUGAGAGAGUCUCACACUGUAAGCCAGUCUGGUCUGGAGUUCACUAUGUAAGCAGGCUUGGCCUCCAGUUUGCAGCCACCUUCCUACCUUGCCCUCUUAAAUGCUGGGCUUAGAGGUGUGAGCCGCCAAGCCUGGUUUAUAUAGUUUUUUUUUCUAGGCCAUUCUAUUCUGUAACAAGCUUUGAGAAUUAUCUUUUUUUUUUUCCUAUUGCAGUUGAAGCUCCUUUCCAAAGCCAGAUACUCAAACAACUAGAAGUUCUAGGCUACCUCCGUGGUAACGAAGUUCAACAGCAUCUUAAAAGAUAGUUAGGUAAAUGUAUGCAGAUUCAAGAAUCUGUGUGCAGUUCCCAAGCUCUGUACCACAGGAAAUGAUCUUUUCUGAAGGCAAGAUCACUCUUGUUCACAAACAUGCUUAUUUUAGCUCACACGAAAUGGUGCUUUAAAGCGCUGCACAUGUAAA